rnacentral:rRNA from 1 species
AUUGAACGCUGGCGGCAGGCUUAACACAUGCAAGUCGAGCGGUAGCACAGGGGAGCUUGCUCCCUGGGUGACGAGCGGCGGACGGGUGAGUAAUGUCUGGGAAACUGCCUGAUGGAGGGGGAUAACUACUGGAAACGGUAGCUAAUACCGCAUAACGUCGCAAGACCAAAGAGGGGGACCUUCGGGCCUCUUGCCAUCAGAUGUGCCCAGAUGGGAUUAGCUAGUAGGUGGGGUAAUGGCUCACCUAGGCGACGAUCCCUAGCUGGUUUGAGAGGAUGACCAGCCACCCUGGAACUGAGACACGGUCCAACAUCCUACGGGAGGCAGCAGUGGGUAAUAUUGCACAAUGGGCGGAAGCCUGAUGCAGCCAUGCCGCGGGUGUGAAGAAGGCCUUCGGGUUGUAAAGCACUUUCAGCGAGGAGGAAGGUGGUGAGCUUAAUACGUUCAUCAAUCGACGUUACUCGCAGAAGAAACACCGGCUAACUCCGU